CCUCCAAAUUGAACUUUUCUCGAUCCAAAGCUUUUCUUUCUUGUUGAAGUUCAGCCACGACUUGUUCCUUUUCGUUCAAUUGGCGUCUGAGUUCACAAGCUUGCGCCCACAAGUCAGCCUGACAGAUAGUGCGUGAAAUAAAGUUGAAAAAAAUUUAAACAAGCUGGUUUUGCAGUGUGGAGUGGUACAUCAUAAUCACCGAUGGGCAAAUCUUCAUGGUACAUUAUCAGGUUUCUGAUUUUCAACAGUGUGUUUCCCAGCUUGCAAGUUGUUGAACACAUCUUUUGAGACUUCAUUUUCUCCGUGACCGUUCAAGCUAUGUUUAUUCACCGAGGGCGAAGCAGGUCGAACUUUGGUUGCUACAAAAACACCAGAGUGAAGGAGCUAUGAGGUUGAUUACGUAUAGGGAUACAAAUGAAGGAAGAAUCCAAAACCCGUGCCAACAUUAAACGCUGUAAUUGUACCUGCGAUUUGAGUGUAUGUACGCUGUGGCUCUGACUUGAGAGGUCUCCCUUGAGUU